rnacentral:rRNA from 1 species
AACAUCUAAGUACCCCGAGGAAAAGAAAUCAACCGAGAUUCCCUCAGUAGCGGCGAGCGAACGGGGAUUAGCCCUUAAGCAUCUUGGAAGUUAGUGGAACGGUCCUGGAAAGGCCGGCGAUACAGGGUGAUAGCCCCGUACACGAAAACAACCUUGAUGUGAAAUCGAGUAGGGCGGGACACGUGACAUCCUGUCUGAAUAUGGGGGGACCAUCCUCCAAGGCUAAAUACUCCUGACUGACCGAUAGUGAACCAGUACCGUGAGGGAAAGGCGAAAAGAACCCCUGUGAGGGGAGUGAAAUAGAACCUGAAACCGUGUACGUACAAGCAGUGGGAGCCCUUCGGGGUGACUGCGUACCUUUUGUAUAAUGGGUCAGCGACUUACAUUUUGUAGCGAGGUUAACCGUAUAGGGGAGCCGUAGGGAAACCGAGUCUUAACUGGGCGUCUAGUUGCAAGGUGUAGACCCGAAACCGGGUGAUCUAGCCAUGGGCAGGUUGAAGGUUGAGUAACAUCAACUGGAGGACCGAACCCACUAACGUUGCAAAGUUAGGGGAUGACCUGUGGCUGGGGGUGAAAGGCCAAUCAAACUCGGAGAUAGCUGGUUCUCCCCGAAAGCUAUUUAGGUAGCGCCUCGGACGAAUACUACUGGGGGUAGAGCACUGUUUGGGCUAGGGGGUCAUCCCGACUUACCAACCCCAUGCAAACUCCGAAUACCAGUAAGUAAUAUCCGGGAGACACACGGCGGGUGCUAACGUCCGUCGUGAAGAGGGAAACAACCCAGACCGCCGGCUAAGGUCCCAAAGUUCUGGUUAAGUGGGAAACGAUGUGGGAAGGCUCAGACAGCUAGGAUGUUGGCUUAGAAGCAGCCAUCAUUUAAAGAAAGCGUAAUAGCUCACUAGUCGAGUCGGCCUGCGCGGAAGAUGUAACGGGGCUCAAACCAGGCACCGAAGCCGCGGAUUCACGCUAAGCGUGAGUGGUAGGGGAGCGUUCUGUAAGUCUGCGAAGGUGUGUCGAGAGGCAUGCUGGAGAUAUCAGAAGUGCGAAUGCUGACGUAAGUAACGAUAAAGGGGGUGAAAAGCCUCCUCGCCGGAAGACCAAGGGUUCCUGUCCAACGUUAAUCGGGGCAGGGUGAGUCGACCCCUAAGGUGAGGCCGAAAGGCGUAAUCGAUGGGAAGCAGGUUAAUAUUCCUGCACGACUUGUAAUUGCGAUGGGGGGACGGAGAAGGCUAGGUGGGCCAGGCGACGGUUGUCCUGGUGAAAGUGCGUAGGUGGUGUUUCUAGGCAAAUCCGGAGACACA